rnacentral:rRNA from 1 species
GACGAACGCUGGCGGCGUGCCUAAUACAUGCAAGUCGAGCGAAUGACGAGAAGCUUGCUUCUCUGAUUUAGCGGCGGACGGGUGAGUAACACGUGGCAACCUGCCCUACAGAUCGGGAUAACUCAGGGAAACCUGGGCUAAUACCGGAUAAUCCUUCGAAUCACGUGUUUUGAAGUUGAAAGGCGCUUCGGCGUCACUGCAGGAUGGGCCCGCGGUGCAUUAGCUAGUUGGUGGGGUAACGGCCUACCAAGGCAACGAUGCAUAGCCGACCUGAGAGGGUGAUCGGCCACAUUGGGACUGAGACACGGCCCAAACUCCUACGGGAGGCAGCAGUAGGGAAUCUUCCACAAUGGACGAAAGUCUGAUGGAGCAACGCCGCGUGAGUGAUGAAGGUUUUCGGAUUGUAAAACUCUGUUGUAAGGGAAGAACAAGUACGUUAGGAAAUGAACGUACCUUGACGGUACCUUAUUAGAAAGCCACGGCUAACUACGUGCCAGCCGCCGCCGUAA